GCUUUUUAAAUUCAGGGUAUAAUAAAUGUCAUGGUGUGAUCAAUGAUAGUACAGGAUCAAAGUUUGAGAUGAGGUCAAUAAAACCACAAACAACCUUACAUUAUUUUCAGUGGAUUUCUACACAUGAUGACAAAACAGCUGUGCUUCAAGCCUGCCUUUACAACAAAUUAUGAAUAGGCAUGAAAACAAUGACAAUUACUGUAGCUGUAAAAGGAUCCAUUGCCCAUAGAUGUUUAAAUUGUUCCAUAUCACUUAGGUUGAUAUAUAAAAUCUCGUGUUAUCAAGAGGGCAGUAAAAUUAGCCCUACUAUCAUAGAUGAGUUAAUACUUGGAAUGUUUAAAUGAUGUGCCCAAGUCAAAUAACCAGCUAUUAAACAAAGAAGAAAGGGCAUGUAAGUCUACUCCAUGAGGCAACUGAGGAGAUAAGAUGUUGCAUAAGCCGUAAAGUUUGGAGGCAUCUCUAACUUUUGAUAAAUGUUAAAUAAAAGAAAUAUAUGCAAAACGGUUAAUAACCAAAUGAAAUUGAAAGGCUCAUAAUGAAAACCAGCUACUCCAUUUUCUACCUUCCCCACCCCUUUUGACACCCCUUCCCUGACCACUUUCUGCUCCAGGUACCGUUCCCCAAAAGCAACUACUUUUAAUUAUUUAGCUGUUUCUUCUGUUAAUUACACUAAGGCUCAACAGUAUUAAAAAAAAACAAGUAACCGAAAUAAUGCAUAUAGCAACCAACUCUAUUACCAAGUCUUAAAUGUUUCAGAAACACAGAAACUUAGUGCCAUCAGUGAGAAUAUCAACGGUCAUUUUAUAGAAGUCCUAAUCAAUAGAUUUUUGUUAGAGGAAAUGAUGGACAACAGACCUUUUUUGUAUAUAGGAUUUUGUGGUCAGCUCUUUUUAUUUUCACUGAAGACAAAAGUCAUCUCUAUUAUAUCGUGGUAUUCAGAGAGAAUUAUGUUGGCGUAUGCUUUGAGUAGGAUGGUCUCAACAGCAAAGUAGCAUCUGCCCAAUAAAAUGUUCCCUUGAAGCAUCCUUUGGCAAUCUUUGUCUUGGCAAAGGCAGUCCUCUGGUCAUGUUACCUGGCGUUGGUCUUUUGAGGACAACAGAGUUAGUGGAUGCAGGCUCUGAACCCAGCCUUUGUUCAUGCCUCGUGAUGGGCAGGGACUGGAUGAAAUCUGUUCACAGAGAGCUGUCAGUUGUCGGGUCGGUACCUAUGGGAUCUAUCAAGCAUCACAGCAAAUUCUGCCUUAUACUGUCAAUGCUUUACGUUAUCUCCAAAAUUGCAUCUUUCUUUAACUAGUAUCUGGUGGGAUAGAGAUAGCCUUUCAGAGGCUAGGUGUUAUCUCCUAUAAGCUGUCGUAUUUUUAUUGCUUGCCUUGAAAUCUUAAGGGGCAAGAAGUAUGAAGAAGCCGUCAUUUAUUAUUUUUAUGACAAUAUAUUAAACUGGAUUAUUAAUGCUCAUCUUAUUUUCAUAAUCAUAUGCUAAAAAAUGGAUUGUCAAGGUGUAGAUACACCCAGAGAUCAUGGAAUUUUAAAAAAGGAGAUUCCUUCAUCUCAGAUGCUACUAUUGAAGUGUCCAACUGUUUCCUUCCCUGUACUGAAGUGGAACAAGGAAAGCUAGACCUGCUUAAAUGAUGCUAUAAAGACUGCUUAAGUAAUUGGAUACAUUGUCAGUGGCUGUCAGGAAGAAGGUCGUAGAAUACCACACUCAGUGGCUCUUUAUCUGGGUUCAGCGAUAAAUGCCAGCUCAGUUCACUCAGUCAGCUUGCCUCCCUAAUGAUAUGCUGAAGCAUUAAAAAUGGAUUUCUUCUUUGUCAAUAGUACAUCAUGUAUAUCUAAAAUGAGUGGCAGUUUUCCACUCUAAUUUGGUCCUUAGAAUUUUCUUUUUCUUUUUCUUUCUCUCUCUCUCUCUCUUUUUUUUUUAGGAAGUUGGUACAUGAACUCGGUUUGUGACACGGCUAUAGCUCUACAGAUUUUCAGUUUUGAAAAGUAGAGGGGUAUCACAGAAAGAUGAGUAGCCAGAAUCUUUGGUGUAUGUGCCGCUGAAGCGAGCCCAGGAAGAGCUGUUUACACGCUAUUUCCGUAAUGCAUGGCCAGGGUUAAACCAGGUCCACAGAAAUGUACUUUUCAUCAUGAUAACUUGUGAAUACGAAAAAUUACUUGAAGGCAUUUUUUUCCCCCUUCUACCUUGGAAGAGCAAAGGGCUAAUACGCCAUUCUCAUUGUUCUUCCUGGGAGUGCUGUACAUCUGGGUCGGACUUCCUAAUGAAAUGGUGGCCUUUCUGAUGAGUCCAGCUGGUCAGUGACAUGGUGUGGCCCUGUUUUGAACGCAGCGUGGAGUCAAGGGAGAGAGAUGGUCGGCGCUCCCUUGAAGGCUGGGCCGUGGGGAAGAAGGCCUCACAGAACAAUUGGCCAAGGCGUGGCCCAAUGAUUAGCAGGUGCUGCCCUCUCUGCCCUUGGCUGUAUUUCCUGGUCAGCGAAGAAGCUUGUAUCAACACGCUUGGAACGGAUGAAGACAUGGAUGUUUCCCAAUUGUUUGACUUCUAACCUUCCUGGGUGACCUGCACGUCACUAGCUGAGAGGCCACAGCAGAGCCCGGAUGGGGCCUCCCGGCUUCUAGGGUGGAUUGCCAACUAACGAAUAAGGCCAUUUGACGCCGGUCUCGAGGUUAGAAGUCAACAGUCAGGAUUUUCACAACAUCAUCUCUUAAAGACGUUACUAAGUGGACACACAUCAUCCUUACAACUCCUGGAACUCAGAGAGGAAACCGUCUGGCUUUGGAGCUGUUGCCAAUGAUGGCUUCAACGGGAUUUUUGUAAUAUUCGAGUAGAGUGACACCCGAAAUUUUUACAGAUCCUCAAAAUCUUUGAAAGGCAUUUAAGUAGUUGUGGC